AGGAUCGACCGACCUAUGACGUACUUCCGCUAUUCGAUGACUUCCAGCGCCUCUUUCCCUGCAGUCUCCCUUGGCGUCUGGUGUAAAUGAAAAACGCUCGAUGUAGCCAAAUAUACUCCACAGUACCACUCAUUCUUGAUCUCGGCCAAAUGCUUCCAUUUGCAACCACACUUGAGAAUGAGCUGACAAAGAGAUGCUUUAUCAUGAGAUGAGUCACAUGUAGUAGAUGUUCAUAAUAGCUGACAAUGAAAGAGAUUAGUCCUUCCAAACACAUGUGUUAAGGAAGGAGCUGGGCUGGCACAUCACAAUGAGCUAACUGGAUGAAUAUGAGAGCAUCAGUAUCAUCGAUAGCAGUGAAGAGGGUGUAGAGAAAGGCUGCUAUGAAGUAUGAAGAGGCACAAUGCAUUCUGGUUCUAAUCAGGCGGUUGAGGCAACUCAGAGUGAUUGUUCGGUGAUAUGGAGCCAGAAACUUAGAUGAAACCACUGGUGGGGCCCUGGGAGCUGUGUUAAAGAAAGGAGAGGUAAUUCUCCAAAGAAGAGGUUGUCCUAACUGUGAAAUGGCAUGAACAAUGUGUACAUCCUGACAACAGUGUACUUACCACCCAUGCAACAUCUGAAUAUGGUAUCAGCUCAACAGCUGUGGCAGACCAUGACAAGAACGUGUGGUUCUGAUCUUGGUGAUUUUUCAGCUAUUUGAUGGUGCUUUUUCACAUGGUGGGAGAAGCUAUUUUUCUUUCUUCUAAUGUCAUCUGUCACACAAGUCCAUGUCUUACACAAGUAUUUAGAGUUGCAAUUUUGACUUGAUGCAUUGUAAAAGUGUAUUAUUGGGGUUUAAAAUGAUACCUCACCUCUCAGUAAUAAUAACAUAAUAUUAUUAUUAUACAGUAGCUUCUUUUGGUUGCAUAAAUGCACCAUAUUAUCAUACUCCUACAAGAGUGAGACCAGUCCAGACCUGUGGAGCAUGCAAAAUCAAACUUAUGUAAGCAGUCAAAAGCAGACUGCCUAUUGUUAUGCAUUGUGUAAUAUAGAGAGAAAAGUCAUCAAGACUACAUAACAAAAAAUGAAAGGGUCAGUAUUAAGGUUUUUAUUGUUUGAUGUCUAGAAAUGCCAUUACUAAUGUGUUUUCAACUGCAGUUACGAUCUGCAUUUUACCUCGUGUGUUUUACAAACGCAUUUUUUACUUGUUUUGUUUUGCACUAUGUUGCUGACAAGUAAAAAUUGCAAGUAUUGGGUCUGCUAACUUAGCACCAAAAGCACAAAGUUUGAGCAUUUCAGUCCAUGGCUGCAGGAUCUUUAGUUACGCAGCACUUUAAGACUCCCGUAUAAAAAGAUGUCACGAUGGGAACUUUUGCGAGGGAAAAUACUUCAAUCUUUCCUCCAAAGGUAAUGCAGGAUUGCGUCCUAUGAAGAUAAUCGUCAGGAUGAACUAAAGAUUCCCAGAUGCCUGCUAUGGUUGCCCCUUUGCAUACGGACAUAUUGUCCUCUCACUUUUCCCGGGUACAGGUGGAGCUGUCCAAGGUGCUCCUCGUUGGAAGCCGAACACAUGAGGGCGGCAUUGGCGGUGGGAUGGUAUUUCAAGUUCCUCUCACGUAAAAAUACUGUUAUGUCUUUGGAUACGAUUUGAUAAAAUUGUUCCCGUAGCAGUAAAUCCCUAAGAUGUUCAAAAUCCUUUGGAAUAUUUGAGAGUGAAAUCUACCAGUAGGCCAAACUGGCUAGCCGAGUCAGUAAUGCUGUCAUGGACUCCUCGGCUUGGGGUCCGCAAUCUUUCCUGGUAUACUUCUCUUUAUUCUCAAGUCCAUUGUUAUUGAUAGACCUUGCCCUCUGGCCCUCAAAAUCUCGCAAGUAACUAUUCCCCUUUGUAGUAGGGGUUGGGGUUCCCCUUCUUCCCUUUGUUGAGAUGUGCCCGGCUGAGGGUCUGGUAUGGCCGCGGUGUCCAACCGAAGGCUGCGCUUUGGCCCUCCCAUCAGGGGCUUAAGUUCGGCCACUGCAAUGUUGGUUUUCUUUGCUUCUUCCUGGUACUUCAAUGUCCUUUCUUUUAGUGAUAACAACUUAUGAGAUACGUAGUAUAACUGCACAUCCAGAUGAUGUUUUUCAUUGUAGAUUUGAGGCUAAGUACAGAGGCAAGACCUCUGCAGGCCAACUGAAAGUCUUGGCAUGGAUCUCAUAUCUACAAAGAUAAGCGUCUAUGUCAUCCAGAUCCUCUUGAAAUGUAAGCAGCUUAGGAGUAUAGCCUUCGAAUAGACGCUCACUUUUCUCUUGGCUACCACUCCCGGAAUAUGUUCCUUUCUUCAGUUCUAACUCUUAAUCUCUUUCUCUACUUUAGAUUGUCUCUCUGCUUCUUCUUUCUUGUCUAACCUAUCCGCUUCCUUCUCUCUGGCUAACCUAUCCGCUUCUUCAUUCUGGAAUUCAAAUUGUCUCUCUGGCAAACCCAUCCGCUUCUGUCUCUCUGGCUAAGCGUUCUUCGUAUCUCUCCUGUCUCUCAAUACACUGCAGCACAUAGUUCGUAAGGGCUUCGUCCUUCAGACCCAUCAGUUUCCCCUCCCUUACAUAAGCUACAUCUCUAACCGGCUCUGCCAUAAUUAAUAUAACUCCAAUGAAUCCGCACUAACAGAUUCCCUAUUUUACUAAAUAGUGUCAAACUAUUAAAAAAUCACACACUUGAAACGUCCUAUCAACAUCAACACAUACUUCUACAUACGUACACGUACACAUCAAUCGAUAUUUAAUACUGGCAUCAAACAACCUCACUUAAAGUGUAUUAACACUGUUACAAAAUCUUCAGCUUGAGCACCAAUGAUAAUGUUUCCCAACUCCCACAACAAGGAGUAAAUACCAAUAUAUCAGUGACUUUAAGCAAAGUAGAUGCAAACAUGUAAUUUCAACAAGCAAGCCAUAGUUAAUACAUCGAGCAGCACCAAAAAAAGUUUUUUUCAAAUACAAGAAAGAGUCCUACAGCUGGAGACGGGAAUUAGUGCACACCGCCCUACAAGUUUUAAAAAUUAACUUAUUUCACAAAAAAUAAACACCUAUACUUCAAGCCCAAUGGACAAUCACAUACAUGAGAUCAAAGACAAGCUCUCAUCCAACUCAGCACAGAACGGGACAAACAUGUCGGGGUCACCAAUUGUCAGGGACGAGUACAGAUCACAACGCAAUAACCUCGCUCAAACAUGAGUAAGGGUUAUAAUCCCUGCCUACCUAAUCCUAACCACCUGUUCCUGCCAAUGGGCCUAACUGAUAAAAAAGAGAGAUCUGAAAGAAUAUUGCACACAAGUGCUAUUCCAUUUCCAAAGGACACAAAUUAUCUGGGAUUUUUCUUAAUGCAAAAGUGCAUAGUACACACUUUUCUGAACUGAUGUUCAAAAGCAACUCCAUGUCGCACCAAACCUGUGUGAUGUUCCUUAUGUGGAGUGGCUUGUUUAUAAUGCUUGACUUUAUUUGUCUAAAGCUUUCCUUAUGCCACCUUCUAAUCACUUGUUGCAGAUGCAAGGAAGGCUUUCUCAUGCUGUUUAGAAUGUUCCUCAUAAAAUUUUCUGAAGGAAAAGCUGACACAUUGUCCAAAGAGACAUGUAACUUUGCAUCAUCAGCAAGAUGAAGAAGACUAUGUACGUUGUACACCAGAAUGUUCUUCUCAUACAGCUGUGAAAAAUGCUGAACAAACAACAGCAGCAGACAUUUUGUGUAGCUGUUGUAUAUAUUGGAUCCAUCCCUAUGUAAAAGUAUGUGCAUAGCAACACUGAGUAGGAGGAAGUUAGAAUACAUGGCAGUUGGCAAAUGUCCUGACAAAGCAACAAUACCAGUAUACAAUAAAAACUGAGAAAAUUCAACUGCUUUCCAUCAAGCGACGUCUACCAAAGACCUUGGUCUUGGAAAUUCUGAUGGGAAACAGUUUGCAAAGUCCUGCAGCAUGUGUGAGAUGUUAGAAAGGACAACCUGACUUUGCCCUACAUUACACACACCCUUCAUCCACAAAAAAUGGGUCGUCUCAUUACGCCCAAGCAAACAAGUGCAUAUCGUCCAGCACCACUUGCGAGACAAGACCAGUCCCUAACCCUGAGAGUGGCGUAGAACCUACAUGCUGUCAUCUACAUGUCAUCUCAUCAAAUGAACGCUCUGACUGUGCCUCUGAUUUAACUACUGGAAAUGUCAUUUUAUUCUUCCAAGCACCAGUCUUUAUACAUCUUUCACAGCUAGUGUACCCCAUUUGAGGUUUAAUAUUUUUUAUAAGGGACCUAGCAGGUGCAUCACAUACUAAUGCUGAUAUGUUCAACUUUAUUAACACCUCAUCAUGUUUAACUCCAGACUGCUUUAACUCAUGGUAUUCUUGGACAAAAGCAUUUAAAAAUUCAAGGGUUUUGGGCUUACCCUCUCCAUAAAACAGUCCUAUCAAAAAUGGCGCGCUCCUAAAAGGCUUAUCAAGUAACCCUUGUAUAGGCCAGAAUUGUUCAUUGCUGCUUUUAAACAGUGGCACCCCAUCAAUGUUUACUUGCAUGUACACUUUAAAUCCUUCUAUUGGAUUUGCUGCUGCAUGGCAUUCUAAAGCCUUUUGUAUUCCAUUGCUAAUACCGAAAUGGUAAUAUGAGCCACCAGACAAUGCAUGAAUUUGUGCAUUAAUGUCAACUGAGGAAACAGUACGUAGUAGAGUCUUUUAGAAGCUCAUGAUGCUUUUAUCUUAACAAGGCAAGAAGUGCUGAAAGUGAACUGUUGGAAAUGUUAAAAGUUGUGGCCCAGUAUGCCAACUGUGUGGCCAAAUCUGUAUCUGUUUCACUUUCGCUGUCUUGAGAUAUUACUGGAUCAAGCUGAUCAUCAAUAUAAUAUUCAAUAAGAUUUCUCUACAUCAUCAUCACUAUUUUCAUCCAAAUUGUAGUCAGUCUGUAAAUAUUGGCUCAGUGUUGUCGCCGAGAUUUUUUAUGCUGCUGGAUUCCCAAACUGUUAAAACUUAUCCAUUUUUUUAAAACAUUAUUGGAAAAAUAUUUUACUGCUACUAUAUCCAUAUGCAUUGUAUUCUAUGGUGUAUUGUAGUAAUAUAUAUUCUUUAAAAAAAAAAAUACCUUGGAGCGAGGAGUUCCAUUUUGAUGUUUACCUUGUUGGCAAUUAUAGCUUGCAGUUUGGGAUUACCGUAGCUAGACGGGUGUUUAAACCUCACACCUGGCAUUCCUGUAACGUUUACAAUGGGUGCCAGAAAGUGUUAUUUUUAGGGAAAGGCAUCUUCCCAUUCCUCCUUUCCCAAUGCUCUGCCUGAAAUCAAACAUUUAGGUCAGAUAAAAUGCUAUAAAAUUAUCUGCACACUAAAUUCAAUACAUGUUAUCUACUUAAAAUUCUUCCAUUAGGUUAGAAAGUAAAUAAUUUCCCUCAAACUAUUUAGAUUCUCUAAUACUGUACAUCUCAUGCUCCAAGAUAGUAGAAAGCUUCAAUGCUGUGCUCAUGGUUCCUAUAGCAGUUUCUUAGUUUAUCAUCUGCUAUAUGGUAAUGGAGAAAAUAGUUUUUUCCAGUAUCUUCUGAUCUAACUUUGUGUGUCAGAAAAACAUUGCCAAUCAGGCUGAUCGCAUUUCCCCUUUGGCACGAGACCUUAAGGAAAUCAGAAAAGUCAUUUAUCUGAUUGCAAGGAUUUCAUAAAUUUUUCCAAGGGAUACGAUAUUGACACUUUCUCACCAUAUGCCUCAUUAACAAUUUUUUGCACACAUCUGUGCAGAUACUUGCUGUCUGAUGAUGCCCUUGGCAAUGGUCCCUGAGUUGGCACAUUUCUUACUAUGUUAUCUGGUGAGACAACAGUAAUCUUGUUCUCGAAAUCUACUUCGACGUAGUACUUUGCGCCUAUAUGUGCAAGAACACUUUCCUGCAAAUUAAAGCAUUUAACUGUGCUUUCACUAAUGGAUUGGAAAUAAAGUGUACAGUUUACCUCUGUGCAUCUAAUACAUAUAUUAUAAAUAUGCAAAGUUCAUCAAAGAAGAACGGGAAUUAUGUACAUUAUGCCAUUGUGAAAAUAAUGUGGUGAACACUCACCACUUUAUUCAGCUGGCACACAAGGAGAUUUAUGUGAUUCCAUUUCUCUUCUAAACUGGAGAGCAUGGGCUGCAGCCUCCUCCGCCAGUUUUUUUUUCCCCCAGAGGAGACAGGGCUAUGAAUUCUGCCCUGCCGCUGGCAAGAAAUUAUGCAUUGCCUGUCAAAUACAAAUAGUCAUUUGAAAAAAUUGCAUGUCAACCAUCCCAAAAUCAUUAAAUUAUUUUGAUUUCAGCAAUCACUGUAAAGGUCACAGUGGUAUGUUAGACCUCUUGCUUAAAUGGGAUGCUUACUUUCACCCUUGCUUGAGUCGCUUUAAAAACAUUGUCAGUGCAGUGUUUCGUUUUAAGCCCCAAACAGUUUUCGGAAACCAAAUAUUUUAUUUAAUACUCCCUUGCUUUUCACACAGAUCAUAAGUAACAUAUUUAUGCUUAAACGUCCGCAAGAGUAAGGGGUUUAAUGCUUAAAUAAAAGUGUAUAACAGUACAUUGAUGAGCAUGUGCUGAUUUAUGUUUUAGACCCCCUAGCAGCUUUCUGAAAACAAUUUAUAGUUACGUACAUUUCCUUUCUUCGCUUCCAUUUUAUUCGCCUUCCAAAUCGAUAUAUAAAUAUAAAAUAAGUACUAUAAGUUACAGCCCUUGUCGUACAGCAGAUUAAAAGGUUUUGUUUGUGCCACAACUCAAUGAUGUGUUAGUGGUAUGCUAGUGAAUUCAAGCUUGACCCACUUUCCUGGGAUGGGUCUCGGCUUUCCUAUCGCAAUUGUUGUCAUUGCGGGGUUGUGCAGGGGCCUUUCAUGCGGUGCAGCUUAUUCAUACCCAUCGCCUGCUUCUGCUCCUCGAGGCGCUCAAACUGCUCGGCAACAACCGUAAUUUAUGUGAGGCUUGCCGCUCCGUUUGUUUCUAUGUGGAGCAUCAAGUCGGUCCGGUAACUUCCCAACACUACCUCCAUGGUAAAUUCCUCCCACACACUUUUGUGGUCGGAUGGGUCUACCUUGGCCACGCAUCAUCCAUUUAUCAAGGUAAUGUAACACAUGGCGAUGGAACUGCUUGUGUGUCUCGUCCGCUGGUUUAGUCGCCCUUCUAAAUCGCAGCAGGCAAGCUUCUGCUGUCACCUGGAAGCGCUGUAAAAAUGCCGUUUUGAGAGCCUUGUAACUGGUCACUUAAUUGUUAAUAGAUUUCCUUCACACUAUCGCAGAGAAGAUCCGACAGCUGAAUGGCCCAAUUAUCGUGUGGUACCUGAAAUGCCUUGUCCAACUUUUCAAAUGACGUCAGAAACCUCUCUUUCUGAUCGUUUCUACAGUCGAACGGAGCCAUCUUAACCUCAGUCCCCCUUCCACCCCCCAAAGAGAUCACAAUCGUCAAACACACAGCAGUAGUAACCAAGCCAAGCUAGUCUACCAAAGUUGUGUCAUCAGGAAUACAACUCACACGCUCUCUUAUGCACUGUCUGCCCUACACUAGCUUAAACGAAAUCACAAUCGUUUAGCUAACAACACAACAUCCAAGUUAGAAAAGCAAUGAACAAGUUAUCUCAUCCAGAGUAACCUCACCACUCACCAGCUCUCACGCUUCCUUACAUGGGCACUGUCUGCCCUACACUAGCUCAAACUAAAUCACAAUCAUUAAGCUAGAAACACAACAGUGAGUAAGGAAAGCAAUCAUCGGGGUUAGGGUUACAAAUCGUCCCGUGUGAAAAGAUUGCGGGUGCAUGCAGUGUACAACAAAACAGUGUAAUUAUAGGCUUGGCUUAAAUACCAAAACCACAUGCAGCCUAUACAAUGACUCACUUACCUGGACUAAUUCAAUCCAAUCCUGGACCAGCUCCCAAUAUGUCGGGAACUCCGGGGAAUGAGCACGUGGAGAUGGUCAGAGGUUGGGAUUGUCGUUGCCUUGGGCUGAUCACACUCGGACACCGCUACCAACUCACUCCGACAUUCAUGUGUACACACACAUUUACACUAAAUUGCUAAUUAUACUUUACUUUACUCUUGAGCCCGAGCGCGCUUCCCCAAUAAAAAAAAGACAAAGCAGUUUAGUAUGAUGAAGAAAUUCUUAAUAAUUGAGAGUUUUACCAAUCACUUUACAAGAUUAUGCAAUUUCAAAUAUGGCCAUUCUCAUGGUGCCCUGUUAUCUAUCCCUAGUCCAGAUAUCGUGAGCCACUUAACUACUACACACAGCACACUACACUCGUGUAACACACUCGCCACUUAUCUUUUCGCACAAAGUCUCUUGCCACAUGGAGGGCCCUGAUGUCCGAGAAUCUGGUGAUAUCCUCCAUCAGUCGUACUGCCUCCUUCACGAGCGCUGAGACUUCUGGCAGUGCCCUGUGCCACCAGGUGUCUCUUCCUCACCUGUUAGGCCGUAACAGCGGUCAGAGCUUGAUCACGCCUAAUAAGGACCAACGCUUAUCAGCCUUGAUCUACGGCUCUACGGUCAAUGGCUGCGGAGUAAAUUGUAAUGUCAGAAGGCACUGUGGAGGCUCAUUCUCGCCCACACAACUGUAAAGGCAUGAAACAGGUGUAUUAAACAACACUAGUGACAGUUCUAGCUAAAUAUCUCAAACCUAAAAACUUACCAGUUUGUACAACCAAAUGUAAAGUAUGCCUUAAAGUCAUAAAUGCCAGUUUGCGAGUAUUAUGACAUUGUUUUAAAGAUACUUUCUGUUGGAUGGCUUUGCAGAGAACACUGUUUGAUCUUCAUCUGAAUCAGAUAAAGACAUUCACCUACAACAUGAUCCAAAAAUGCAUAUUGCAAUAUUCUCUAGAUGUCUAUUUGUAUUGAAAAAAAUAACAUAACAGAAUUACUGUAAAAGAUGAAAAGAGUUUGCCCUGAUGGCCGCCAUAUGAAGUGCUGCUACCUAUGUCCGAAAAUCCCUGUAGCAGUAAUUUCAGCUUUGCUGCUGCCUUCGGAUACUCAUCUAUGAACAGAUUAGUACACGUGCGUAACAUCUAAGUGUCUUUUAGAAUGCACAAUCCUCUCAUCAAUCAUUGCAGUAAAUAUGCCUCAUUAUCUUACCGGUCUCGUACUUAAUAGUUGUAAAUGGAUAAAGACUCCAAGAAUCCAUUGGUACUGGGCAGUCAAUAACCGCUCGUUGAGAAUCCUCUUGAUUGGGCCAAUAGCAAUGUCCAGUCGCCAUCUGUAUCCAGAUGCUUGGGACAAUGCUGGUUUCCAAUCCAUAUUCGCCUUGGAAAUCAAUUAUUGAAAACUUCUUCAUUUUUAGAUCGCAUAUAUAGUAUACAGGCACAAAUGUGUUCUAAAACCAAACCUUAAUUAGCUUUUAAACCUAUGCUUGAUACCUAUUCAAGUGGAAGUUCGAUGAAUGAAGUUUGAUAUGGUAAAAGUACUAAUUUUCUUUCAGCUUCUGAAAGCGAUACAUGUUCAAACAAACUUGUCAGAUCAGACACUUUAAAUAUGUUUAACUUAGAAGAAUCAAGUGGACUGGUGAAAAAGUUAAUUGAUGAGGAAAAUUGCUAUAUUAUGAAAACAAUGUCUGAAGUGUGUUAGUUAGUUCCCGUUAUGCCGGUCGGCACGUAGGGCAGCGACAAAGGUCCUCCACUGAAGUGUGUGCAGGGACUAAAAUGCUUCUUAUCAAGCAAACUAUACCUCUAACCUGUAUACAGUUGUUACCCUCUGUCACCAAAAAAAAAUCUUUGAAUAAAUUUUUUGAAAUUGUUGCGCGUCACCUCAAACAGGAGGGGUCCCACGUUCCACCUCAUUGGAAUGUUAUCGGGCAGUGGAGAUGUGCGCUCUGGGAAAGAAUUAUUUGACAUUUUUUCACUCAAACGCUUUAUAACUUGCUGGAGUGGAUAUUGUGGAUUCAACACUAAUCUCUUUAGCCUGCUUAGAAAGUUUUCAAAUGGAAAUGCAGAGUAAGCAUCCAGGGGUCCAAACAGUUUAACAUCUUCUGCAAUAUGCACUAGGCCAUGCACAUUAUACACAAGAAAGUCUCUUCCAUACAAUUCUGCAGCUUGAGAAACAAAUAUGCUAAAAGUUCAUUAGCAUAAUCACCAUUGGUUUGACAAAGCUUAGGAUCACAGAGACAAUGCAACAAAGAGCAAAAGAAAAUGUUAGUAAAGGUGAGGAGAAAUAGUUCCUUUCAAAACAACAAUGCUACUAUACAGCAAGAACUGUCUAAAUUCUGUACUGAAUAUCAGUAGGUAAUGGAGCAUCCACAUCAGGAAAGGCCAUUUCCCCAUCCCAUACUCCUUUCUGGGAACAUUUAUCACACCCAUAAUAACCUGUGUGACUUUUUACUUGUUCGACAAAAGCUCUUGCAGGUGUGUCACAAAUAAAACAGGAUAAAGAUAAUGUCACUUUUUCAGUGACUCCUAGAAGACAAUGGCAGCCUUCUUGCAGUGCACACAUCUCUGUAACAAAAUCAUUCUAAUAAUCUUGAACAUUGCUUGGUUUGUCAUUGCCACAGCUAAGCUAUUUUUUGUUCAACUCGACACUGAUUCUCAUCUAGUUUCCUUGAUAGUUUUUCAAAGAUCUCACCUUGAGCUGUUCUUCCAUUUUUUUUCUCCAUUUUUUCCAUGAAUCCGUUGAUGGUAAGUUCAUCCAUUGGGCCCAGGUUUAGUUCCACAUCGCCGCACCCGCCUAACAGUGAUAUGAAGUAGAGUAGAAUAACACAGCAGAUCUUACAGUUAUAUCGGCCUUUUUCUGGAGAAUGUUUAUCAAGACUGGGCUAAAAUGUCCAAGUUUGAUCAUAUCCCCUGGAUAGGUGUACUUAGUAAAUUGCGUAUAUUUUCCAGGUAAUUAACAAAGUUUUACCACAUCCAAAAAUGUGUGACCUGUCGGCAUUGUGAACACUUCUCACCCCCGUCAUUGUCACAGUAAAGACCAAUGACAAAAGGAUCAGUCACAAAAGGACCAGAGACUGGACCAAGAAUAGGCCAGAACUGAGUUCCAGAUGACUUGAAAAGUGGCAACCCAUUAACAUUAACUUGGAGCAUUGCAUGGCAACUUCCAGAUUUAAAUUCCAACCUGAAACAACAUCAGUCAGUGAGUUUAAAAUACCAGAAUGGUAGUAAGAACCAGAUCCAACAGCUUUCAGUUUGUAGUUUUGUGGUGUUUUCAUUAGAGUCCCUAGGAAAAGAAGGAUGGAACUGAGGCAGUAGGCUGAAAAGCUCUCCUUCUGCAGUCAUAGGAAUGUUAUUUUUUGUUUGACACCCCAUGAGCUUAUACCUAUGUGCAGAUUUUCCGACUGAUUCUCAGAAUCAGACUUCUUCUUGUUCCUAUUCGCCCCCAGUGGAGCAUAGGGCCGCAGCCACACCCCGCCAUCGAACCCACUUCUGGGCAUCCCUUUCCAGUUGGGACCAUGUCACCAGCACACGUCAUAAGCCUCUCCGAAGAGGGAUCUUCCUGUCCAGGCUCCAGAUGUACAGUUAUCGUGCUUAUGGUUUCUGUAGCCUUUAAUUUUUUACAGGGUGGGGUUGCUAGCCCCACGCCCAACCCUCCUUUAUCCGGGCUUGGGACCGGCAGGUUACCUGAGUGGCUUCCAGGGGGAGUUCAGAAUCAGACUGCACAUUGCAAUUAUCUUGUCUGUCAAGUUCGGCAAUAAAAGUUGAAAAUUCAGCAGAAAUCAAAUCUUCAUUGCUCAUAGUAUCACCAUUGGUAUCACAGCUACUGGUUUUGAAGAGCAAGAAAGGAGAUUAGAGGUACAAUCCCGUUCAAUUGUGCUUGCUACAGUAGCACAAUUUUCCUGUCUUGUCUGAUUACCAAUGGUACUGGCCCAUUGCUGUUGGUAGAGUCUGAAUGUAAUUCGUCGCUACUUCUGCUAGAAGUUCUAGCAUAAUCUAAAUGAUCCUUUACUCUAGCUAAAAUUCUUCCUUUUGUUUAGUAGGAGCAUAAUGCGUUGCAAUUGUCAAAUGUAAAUUCAGGUAGCAAAUUUAUACAAUGGAUGCUGUUUAAAAAUAAACUACACGUACGAUAAUAUAUAUAUAAAGUACGUAAAAUUAUACAUGUUUUCACGAUCUACAUGCUGAUGUUCUUGUCUUAUCUUUCAAUUUACCCAUAUUGUCUUUAUUGAGGUUCGCAUGCCAUAGAACCUAUAUCAUUAUAUUCUCAAUAUUUCAUAAGACUAUGCUUUAGCAAAAGUAAUGUAACCAACAAUUUUUUUUUUUUUUUUUUUUUUGUUGGUCUUUCUUAAUUUUAUUUUUGGACAUGUAGUUAUGCCCGAAUGCACAAUUUUUGUAUGGUAACAGGUUUCAUUAUCUUAAGUUUGAAUCUAAGCAUCAGUUUCAAAUCUUGAAUUACAGUUUUCCAUGCAUAAAGAUUUGUUUGACUCUUUA